AUACCUACCUGGCGUCGGAUUACCAUGAUCAUGCAGUUGGUUACCCCGGGGUGCGGCUGCUCCAUUGCACUGCGGAGUGGUUGACCCUUGCAAUUAUUUUUAUAUUAUAUAUGUUUCACUUCUAUCGUGUGUGACUAGCACAUA
rnacentral:snRNA from 9 species